GACGAACGCUGGCGGCGUGCUUAACACAUGCAAGUCGAACGGAAAGGCCCUGCUUUUGUGGGGUGCUCGAGUGGCGAACGGGUGAGUAACACGUGAGUAACCUGCCCUUGACUUUGGGAUAACUUCAGGAAACUGGGGCUAAUACCGGAUAGGAGCUCCUGCUGCAUGGUGGGGGCGGGAAGGUUUCGGCGGUUGGGGAUGGACUCGCGGCUUAUCAGCUUGUUGGUGGGGUAGUGGCUUACCAAGGCUUUGACGGGUAGCCGGCCUGAGAGGGUGACCGGCCACAUUGGGACUGAGAUACGGCCCAGACUCCUACGGGAGGCAGCAGUGGGGAAUAUUGCACAAUGGGCGGAAGCCUGAUGCAGCAACGCCGCGUGCGGGAUGACGGCCUUCGGGUUGUAAACCGCUUUCGCCUGUGACGAAGCGUGAGUGACGGUAAUGGGUAAAGAAGCACCGGCUAACUACGUG
rnacentral:rRNA from 1 species